GUGGAGGCCAAGGACAUCAUACAUGACCUGAUCUUGCUACCAGCACUUGGCAGAGUAGGACAAUUGUGCAGAGACCUGUGCCACCUAGGUGCAGACUGAUAGCUCCCCUGGAGACCACAGGGAAGUCCAGGGGUGACAGAGAGACCAGUGUUUGCAUGUAAACUAAUACAUUUUGGGAACAUACAGAAUAUACAGAAUUUGGGAUCAGUUGUUACUUCUUUAGGGAAUCAAUAAAUACGGAAGUAUCAGUCAUAUUUUUGGAGUACUGAACUAUGCACGUUUUCACAUAACUGCUGCAGAACCUUUCUGGGUUCCUGUGAGUAUAGAUUGUGUUGAAGUUAGAGAGUUUGGCAAAACAUAAGUAACUAUAAAGGCUCAGACUUAGCCAGUUUGGGUGUAUUUCUUAGGAUCCGAGGCACAGACAGCAAUUUAACCAACUCAUACAAAGUAAAUGUCUGUUAUAGGAACUGCAUCUUCACAGUCGAUAUCUUCUUACAGGAACUCUAUCUCAACAGACAAUAUCGUCUUAUAGGAACUGUAUCUUCACAGUCCAAAUCUUCUUACAGGAACUGUAUCUCAACAGCCGAUAUCUGUAUCUCAACAGCCGAUAUCUGUAUCUCAACAGACAAUAUCUUCUUAUAGGAACUCUAUCUCAACAGCCGAUAUCUUCUUAUAGAAACUGUAUCUCAUCAGCC